UUUACUAUCUUGAUGGUUGAGUGUGGUUUGGUUAGGAUUAAGAUGUUUGGGAAAUUUUUUACAUUGUUUUUGUAAAUGAGUUGCUAAAUUGGUGGUUCCAUCUUUGUGUGAAUCGGCAGCAUAAGAUACAUUUUCACACCACUUACACUCAGCCCGACCAUUUUCUUUUGUAAAAUGCUCCCAAACCUAAGAUUUAGGCCUACAAGGUUUUCCUUUAUCUGGAUCUCCAGCAUUAGGAUCAUCAACAUUAGA
rnacentral:lncRNA from 1 species